GGUUGUAGCCCAGUGGUAGAGCACUUGCCUAACAUGUAUGAGGCACUGGGUUCAAUCCUCAGCACCA
rnacentral:tRNA from 1 species